CGGAGGAAGAGAAAGAAACAUCGAUUCCGUAAGUAGCGGCGAGCGAACGCGGAAGAGCCCAAACCGUGAUGCGUGCAUCGCGGGGUUCGGACUGCAUAAGGGAUUCAGUAACGGCAGGAGAACGGCUUUGGAACAGCCGGCCAGAGAGGGUGAGAGCCCCGUAUCCGAAGCCAGAGCUGACCCGGCAGGAUCCAGAGUACCACGGGACACGGGAAACCCUGUGGGAACGAGCGGAGACCACUCCGUAAGGCUAAAUACUACUCAGUGACCGAUAGCGUAUAGUACUGUGAAGGAAAGGUGAAAAGAACCCCGGGAGGGGAGUGAAAAGAACCUGAAACCUUGUGCUUACAAGCACACAAAGCACGUCAACGUGUGAUGUGGUACCUUUUGUAGAAUGGUCCGGCGAGUGAAUGUAACUGGCGAGGUUAAGUUCUUAAGGAACGGAGCCGAAGCGAAAGCGAGUCUGAAUAGGGCGUCUUAGUCAGUUGUAUUCGACCCGAAACCGGGUGACCUAUCCAUGUCCAGGAUGAAGUUAAGGUAAAACUUGAUGGAGGUCCGAACCCACGGUCGUUGAAAUGCCCGGGGAUGAGAUGUGGAUAGCGGAGAAAUUCCAAUCGAACCCGGAUAUAGCUGGUUCUCUCCGAAAUAGCUUUAGGGCUAGCCUCGACUGAACAUUACCGGAGGUAGAGCACUGAAUGGGCUAGGGGCCGAGAGGUUACUGAACCCUAUCAAACUUCAAAUGCCGGAAAAUGAUAGUCGGGAGUCAGACUGCGUGAGAUAAGUUUCGUAGUCGAAAGGGAAACAGCCCAGACCCACAGCUAAGGUCCCAAAGUACGGUUAAGUGGAAAAGGAUGUGGAGUUGCACAGACAACCAGGAUGUUGGCUUAGAAGCAGCCACUCAUUAAAAGAGUGCGUAAUAGCUCACUGGUCGAGUGACUCUGCGCCGAAAAUUUAACGGGGCUAAACUAUACACCGAAGCUUGGGAUACAUCUAAUGUAUGGUAGGAGAGCGUUCUGUAUGGGGAGAAGUCGUAGCGAAAGCGGCGGUGGACUAUACAGAAGUGAGAAUGCCGGAAUAAGUAGCGAGAAUUAAGUGAGAAUCUUAAUGGCCGAAAGUCUAAGGUUUUUGGAGGAAGGUUCGUCCGCUCCAAGUAAGUCGGGAGCUAAGGUCAGGCCGAAAGGCGUAGCCGAUGCACAUACGGUUGAUAUUCCGUAACCAUCUGUAAUUUAAGCAAAGGGACACUUCAAAAGGGUGUGACCCGGGCGUUGGUUGACCCGGGCGUAAGGGACCGAAAUUAGAGUAGGGAAGCACACUUAGCUGAAGGCGAGAAAAGCUUUGCGUAUAGAAACAGAUGCCCGUACCGCAAACCGACACAGGUGGACAGGAAGAGAAUUCUAAGGCCAGCGGGAGAAGGGUAGUUAAGGAACUCGGCAAAUUGACUCCGUAACUUCGGAAUAAGGAGUGCUCGAAAGAGCCGCAGAGAAUAGGCCCAGGCGACUGUUUAGCAAAAACACAGGUCUCUGCCAAAUCGAAAGAUGAAGUAUAGGGGCUGACACCUGCCCGGUGCCGGAAGGUUAAGAGGAGGAGUGAGAGCUCCGAAUUGAAGCCCCGGUAAACGGCGGCCGUAACUAUAACGGUCCUAAGGUAGCGAAAUUCCUUGUCGGGUAAGUUCCGACCCGCACGAAUGGUGUAACGAUCUGGGCACUGUCUCAACUACCCACCCGGCGAAAUUGUAGUACCGGUGAAGAUGCCGGUUACCUGCGGCAAGACGGAAAGACCCCAUGGAGCUUUACUGUAGCCUGAUAUUGGGUUUCGGAAAUCUAUGUACAGGAUAGGCGGGAGACUGGGAAACAUGAGCGUCAGCUUGUGUGGAGUCGAUGUUGGGAUACCGCCCUUAGGUUUCUGGAAUUCUAACCUGCGGCCGUGAAUCCGGUCGGGGGACAUUGUCAGGUGGGCAGUUUGACUGGGGCGGUCGCCUCCGAAAAGGUAACGGAGGCGCUCAAAGGUUAGCUCAGCACGGACGGAAACCGUGCCUCUGAGUGUAAACGCAAAAGCUAGCCUAACUGCGAGGGUGACGGCCCGAGCAGUAACGAAAGUUGGAGUUAGUGAUCCGGCGGUAUGUGAAUGGAAAUGCCGUCGCUCAACGGAUAAAAGCUACCCUGGGGAUAACAGGCUGAUCUCCCCCAAGAGU
rnacentral:rRNA from 1 species